AGAGUUUGAUCAUGGCUCAGAACGAACGCUGGCGGCGUGGAUAAGACAUGCAAGUCGAACGGGGUUUUGAUUAUAGCAAUAUAGUUAAGACUCAGUGGCGUAAGGGUGCGUAACACGUGAACAAUCUGCCGGGAAGUGGAGGAUAGCUCGCCGAAAGGCGAAUUAAUACUGCAUAUGGCCAAUACGGGAAUCCGUUGAAGCCAAAGCCGGGGCAACCUGGCGCUUCCUGAUGAGUUCGCGGCCUAUCAGCUAGUUGGCGGGGUAAAAGCCCACCAAGGCUAUGACGGGUAGCUGGUCUGAGAGGACGACCAGCCACACUGGAACUGAUACACGGCCCAGACACCUACGGGUGGCAGCAGUCGAGAAUUUUUCUCAAUGGGCGCAAGCCUGAAGGAGCGACGCCGCGUGGAGGAUGAAGGUCUUCGGAUUGUAAACUCCUGUCAUUGGUGAACAAAGCUUACGGUUUACUGCCGUGGAGCGUGCUAGUAGCCAAAGAGGAAGGGACGGCUAACUCUGUGCCAGCAGCCGCGGUAAUACAGAGGUCCCAAGCGUUGUUCGGAAUUAUUGGGCGUAAAGGGUGCGUAGGCGGUAGGAUAAGUUAGAUGUGAAAUGUCGGCGCUUAACGUCGAACCUGCAUUUAAGACUGUCCUGCUUGAGCACUAGAGAGGACUGGAAUUUACGGUGUAGCAGUGAAAUGCGUAGAUAUCGUAAGGAAGGCCAGUGGCGAAAGCGAGACUCUGGCUAGAUGCUGACGCUGAGGCACGAAAGCUGGGGGAGCAAACGGGAUUAGAUACCCUAGUAGUCC
rnacentral:rRNA from 1 species